rnacentral:rRNA from 1 species
UAACACGGAGAGUGCAAGCGUUGUUCGGAAUUACUAGGCGUAAAGGGCGUGUAGGUGGUUAGCUAAGUCAGAUGUGAAAAUUCCGAGCUCAACUCGGAACCUGCAUUUGAAACUGGUUAACUUGAGUGUAGGAGAGGAGAGCGGAAUUCCUAGUGUAGCGGUGAAAUGCGUAGAUAUUAGGAAGAACACCGGUGGCGAAGGCGGCUCCCUGGCCUAAAACUGACACUGAGACGCGAAAGCGUGGGGAGCGAACAGGAUUAGAUACCCGGGUAGUCCUGGCCGUAAACGAUGCAUACUAGGUGAUGGCACGGCCAUGAGCCGUGUCAGUGCCGUAGGGAAACCGUUAAGUGUGCCGCCUGGGAAGUACGGUCGCAAGGCUA